rnacentral:rRNA from 1 species
AGAGCGAACGCUGGCGGCAGGCCUAACACAUGCAAGUCGAACGGACCCUUCGGGGUUAGUGGCGGACGGGUGAGUAACACGUGGGAACGUGCCUUUAGGUUCGGAAUAGCUCCUGGAAACGGGUGGUAAUGCCGAAUGUGCCCUUCGGGGGAAAGAUUUAUCGCCUUUAGAGCGGCCCGCGUCUGAUUAGCUAGUUGGUGAGGUAAAGGCUCACCAAGGCUACGAUCAGUAGCUGGUCUGAGAGGAUGACCAGCCACAUUGGGACUGAGACACGGCCCAAACUCCUCCGGGAGGCAGCAGUGGGGAAUCUUGCGCAAUGGGCGAAAGCCUGACGCAGCCAUGCCGCGUGAAUGAUGAAGGUCUAGGAUUAGUAAAAUUCUUUACAGGUAGGGACGAUAAUGGAACGUACCUACAAGAAGAACGCCCCGGACUAACUUCGUGCCAGCCAGCCGC